GCGGUGGUCAGGUAGCCCUGAGUGUGGAUAUGAAGAUGGCGGUGAUGAUGAUGAAGAUCAGGCCGACGACGGCGACCACCACGGAGCAGACGAUGUUCGCCACCCUGGCGCGGUCGCUGUGGCGUCGGGCGCCCUCCAGGAGGGGAAUUGAAGUUUCUUUUCGAAAGGCUCUGUUCCCGAUGAUCUGAACACCCACAGAUUUGGAGUAGCCAGAAUAUACAGAGGUGAUGAGCAACCAUGAGUGAGCAUUAACCAACAUCACCUCUUGGGCUGGAAAAUUGAUCAGUGAGAGAACCGAAAAAUGAGGACCAAAUUAGCAUCGAAGGCGAAGGGAUCAAGAACCGACAGCAGAUGGAAUACUAAGAAUUGUGGAAUUUAAAACCAGCGAAUGAGAAUUUAUUUGGAUUUUUGUCUAUAUAGAUAUGGGAAGGAUCAGGCAAAUGGGCAGCCCUCCCCAGGAAAACCGGGCUCCAGGCAAGUGGGAUGUGGGCUGUGAGCCACAGCAGGACCCCAGAUUGCCUGGCUGCAGGGGAGAGCCGUGGAAUCCAGCCCCAGGGAGCUGAUUGGGAUGGAGCCACAGCAUGCACCAGCCCCUUCCCUCUGGGAGCCUCUCCAGCCCUGCUGACCCCACUCCAUCCCAUUCCAGCUCAUCCUGCUCAAGUCCUUUGCGCAUCCCACCCCACCACAGCUACCUUGCCCUCAGCUCUGCUUGCUGACAGCCCUUCCCGAGGGCCAGAGAGGAUGGGAGUGCAAGGAUUUGCACCCGCAGCCAUGGCACGAUCCUUACAAGAGCUUCACACCCCGUAUGAAUGCAGU